ACCCCCCGAAUUGUAGUCUAGAAAGGCGCCAUCGGCCGCGUCCGCCGCUCAAAUCCCUUGGAACGGGGUAUCGGAGAAGGUGAGAAUCCUGUGCCGUGGCGGUUCGCGGUCGCACGAUGCGCCCUUGCAGAGUCGGGUUGCUUGGGAUUGCAGCUUGAAUUGGGUGGUAAAUUCCAUCUAAAGCUAAAUACUGGCGAGAGACCGAUAGCGAACAAGUACCGUGAGGGAAAGAUGCAAAGAACUUUGAAAAGAGAGUUAAAGAGUGCUUGAAAUCGGCAAGAGGAAACCCGUUUGCGCCCGGCUUCGCGCCGUCGACUCAGCCGUCCUUUUUGGUCGGUGCACUUUGUCGGCGCGGGUCAGCUCUCGCUCUUUUGGCGGCACACACUGUUUGGCGGGGCUUCGGCGAGCCAGACUGGAUGUCGCGCGAGGGGCGUCUGCUGACGGAACGGGCGCAACCGACCCGUCUAGAAACACGGACCAAGGAGUCUGACACGUGUGCGAGUACCCGGGUGGCAAGCCCGCGUGCGGAAUGAAAGUGAAGGGCGUUCUGUGCCAACCGACCUUGAUCUUCUGUGAAGGGUUUGAGUGGAGCACAUCUGUCGGGACCCGAAAGAUGGUGAACUAUGCCUGAGGAGGGUGAAGCCAGAGGAAACUCUGGUGGAGGCUCGUAGCGAUACUGACGUGCAAAUCGUUCGUCGAACUUGGGUAUAGGGGCGAAAGACUAAUCGAACCAUCUAGUAGCUGGUUCCCUCCGAAGUUUCCCUCAGGAUAGCUUGAACGCCACGGUUUUGU
rnacentral:rRNA from 1 species